CUGAACGCUGGCGGCGUGGUUAAGACAUGCAAGUCGAACGGGCCUAGCAAUAGGUCAGUGGCGGACGGGUGAGUAAUGUAUCGCUAACGUACCCUAGAGCCUGGGAGUAGCUGCCCGAAACGGGACGAGGUAAUACCAGAUGAAAUAACCUUGAUCGCAUGAUUGAGGUCUCAAAGCAGCAAUGCACUCCUGGAGCGGGCGAUAUCGUAUCAGCUAGNGGUUGAGGUAACGGCUCACCAAGGCGACGACGCGUAGCCGGGCUGA
rnacentral:rRNA from 1 species